GCGCAGCCAGUUAAGCUGACUGGCCUGCCUGCCAUGGGGGCCUGGUGUGCAAUGGCUGCGCACAGCACCCCCCUGGUUGUGUGGGGGAGCUGGGUUGUGGGC